UACGUAGGGGGCAAGCGUUGUCCGGAUUUAUUGGGCGUAAAGAGCGUGUAGGCGGCCAGGUAGGUCCGUUGUGAAAACUGGAGGCUUAACCUCCAGCUGUCGAUGGAAACCAUCUGGCUAGAGUCCGGAAGAGGAGAGUGGAAUUCCUGGUGUAGCGGUAAUAUGCGUAGAUAUCGGGAGGAACACCAGUGGCGAAGGCGGCUCUCUGGGGUAUUGCUGACGCUGAGGCACGAAAGCCAGGGGAGCGAACGGG
rnacentral:rRNA from 1 species